rnacentral:tRNA from 1 species
GCCGUCUUAGCUCAGCUGGCAGAGCACUUGACUUGUAAUCAUGCGGUCUCCGGUUCGAUUCCGGAAGACGGCU